rnacentral:rRNA from 1 species
UACGUAGGGUGCAAGCGUUUAUCCGGAAUUAUUGGGCGUAAAGAGCUCGUAGGCGGUUUGUCGCGUCUGCUGUGAAAACUGGAGGCUCAACCUCCAGCCUGCAGUGGGUACGGGCAGACUAGAGUGCGGUAGGGGAGAUUGGAAUUCCUGGUGUAGCGGUGGAAUGCGCAGAUAUCAGGAGGAACACCGAUGGCGAAGGCAGAUCUCUGGGCCGUAACUGACGCUGAGGAGCGAAAGCAUGGGGGAGCGAACAGG